UGUGUUUGCUCUGGUUCAUCUUCAGCAGAAGAUGUUUCCUCCUUAGGUCUGAAUAAAGGAGUUCCCCAGUUUUCCUACUGAAGUGAAACGGCCCUCUUGCUUGCUCACCUGAGGAGAUAGCACUGAAUACUCCCCGCAGGCUCUGUGAAGUCCGUGGCUUCAUGGAAACCUCUGCACUACUACACGAUUAGGAGGGAAUACAAGUAAUGAGAGAACAGAACAGGCAUUGCCGAUCUGCAGAGAGAAAUGUUUAGGAUGACAGAAGAUUUAUGCCUGGGGCGUCUGCACAGACAGCCGCUCAGAGGGCUGGAGAUCCAAGCGUAAAGUCACACUUUUGAGGUCCAUCUGCUAGUGGAGACAUCCCUGCUUCCCUUGCACUGCUUUUGGGAGAAAUAGACAGUAACCAGUUGUAAAAUGCUUUGAACAUAUGAAGGGUGUGCAAGGGUGAGUGUU
rnacentral:lncRNA from 1 species